AACAAAUGUCUAGUUUCUAAUUGUUUCAAUUUGUCCCAUGGUCUUUCAUUGCAGCAACUGGCCCACGUUUCCACAGAUAUUCAUCAAGGGGAGUUUGUUGGAGGAUCAGACAUCAUUCUCAACAUGCACCAGACUGGCGAGUUGAAGGAAAUGCUUAAAGAUAUUGCAGCCAACCAGGAGAAUUAAGAGUAAGUUUAUCAUUACUGAACAUGUAGAGUCACCAAGGAAUAUAGUUAUCUUUGAUGAUGAAGAAUUAUGGGAUAUAAGCACGUUCAGCUUUGAAUGUUUGUUGACUUGAUCCAAUAAUGUUUAGUUAAAGUA